AGAUUUGGGAUUUUAUAUAAAAAAGUUUGAACAACCCCAAAACUAAUCCCAUUUUUAAAUUUUCUGGAGCAAUUUUGGACCAACCCAAUGUAACACAGCCCAAAAAACAUAUUAGACUCAUCAUAUCUUUCUUUUUCAACCCUAAAAAUCCCUAAGCUUCAAAAACCCCUAGAGCCAUUGGCAAUCUAGACACCCUUUAUUACAUAACAAGAAAAAAAAAAACCCUAAGGACCCCAAAAAUCAAGCAACCAUCAACUACCCUCUCCUCCCUUCACCUUCAGCAGCACCCUCACACAGAGCCCACCACCCCCCUGAACCUCGAAGCCGACCUCAACCAAGAGCAACCACACUCUAAAUGUGAGCAUCCGUCGCCACUUCCAUCUCCAACAAGUUGGCUAGUGAGCUAUCGAGCUCCAGCACUCAUCCCUGUCACCACCACUUCAUCCCCACCCCAAAACACCACCAGUCGUAAGAAGAGUUACCGCUGGGCUCUCCAUUCUUCAUAAAACAUGCACACACAGAGGCACAAAAUGGACAAAGGGGGAGGGGGUGGACUGAUUUGAUUAUUACAAUGAGAAAAUAGUUUCCUUUGUUCAAUAUAUUUGAAGAAGCAAAUGGAAACAGAAACAAAUUUAGAGUUUUUUAAUCGGAGUUCGUCACUUGAGCUCGUUUGGGUAUGCAUCCGUGUUUGUUUGAGUUUUCCGGUGCUGAUUUAUGAUCCCAUCUAAUUUUCAGCUUUUCGAUGCCAAUUCAAGUUCCGUUGAGGUCGUCUUUGUCUAAGUUUCCCGGUGUUUUACAAUUUUAGAUUCGAAAUUACUAAGGUCCGUUACUAUCUUACCCUUUAUUUAUUGAUUUUGUCGUAUGUGAUGUUUGUGGUGGUAUACUUGUGUGAAUUUCAUACUUAUUGGUGAUAUCUUGAAUUGAAACAGUUUGAUUUUGAAAUGAAAUUUGAUUAUAUGGUUUAAUGGAAAAUUACUCGAAUGUUCAGUAUUGAAACAAGUUGCAUAAAUACUUAUUAUUGAUGUAUGCCUUUUGGACUCACGCUCAAUUCGGUAUUCGUUUUGAAAGAAACUUCCAUGUAAGAGAAUUUGGCCAUUGAGCUCGGGUAAUAACCAAAAGGAGAUUGAACCAUAGUUGUUUUAAUGUCUCAAUUUUCGUUGUUGAUAUCUCUAUAGGCAUAUUUAGGCCGACCACAUUUGGGUAGAUAAACUUUAGAUUUUCCUUUUUCCUUCUUUUAUAUGAGGUGAGAGGCCGCCCUUUUAGUUGAAUUUAUCAGGGGGAAUGCCUCGCGAUAUUUGUAUAUAUUUUUAUCUGGGUAUUACCCCGAGAUAUUUGUAUUUUGAGAUCGAAAGUAGAAGUCGUAGUAUUUUUUUUUUGUUGAGUACGCAACUGUUCUAGUUACGGGACUCGAGGAAUGCCUAACAUCUCCUCAAUUCAAAUGAACCCCCUUAAUAGAAUCUAAUGCAGGCUUAGUUUUAGAGUCCGAAGUAUUUUAAUAGGAAAAUCAUUUUGUAAAUACGACGACGUGACACAUCGAAAUUAAAUGUGAGGUAGCGACUCUGAAAAAUCCUUUUGAACACAUAUUUUUUUCACCUUCUAAUUGAAAACCCUUUUUGAGCUUCAAAAUCACUUUAUAUUAUUUUUAAGAGGGUCAACAAGGUGAAACGUGUGACGGCUUUGGCGACUUUGCUGGGGGAGUUGCAGGUUCGAGUUGAUACUUGAUCUUGUUGACUUUUAGGAUAUUCGGCUGAGGUGUUUGUUUUCUUUCUUUUUUUUUAUUUGGUUUGUUCGUAUUACUUCCUGUUUUGUUGGCUAUUUGUUCAUUGCUUUUCCUAAUGUGUUUACCGUUUUAUAACUGUUAUCAUUUGCGUAACCAUAAGUCUUCUUUCUACAACAAGUCUCGGAGUACAUAUCACAUAUACGAACUCUUUAUUGAGUCACCCUUAUUUUAGGAGGGGGACCGUCAGACGUAUGGAGUGGGUGGAAAGCUUAAGCAGCCAUCGUCGACUAUACGCUCCCUCGAAUUGUCUUGUUAGUGAACCCCAAGCUUAGGUCAUCCUUUAGGCCAUUCUUAUUUUGCAUCAUGUCAUUUAGACCUAGUAGGGCUCAAUCCUAGGUACUGUGUCCUUUUGUAAGAGACCUAUCCAAAUUUUGUCAAAAUAGGCAUCUGGCCCAAUAAGAUAUUCAAUGAUUCCUAUGUGAUUAUUGUUGCAUCUUUGAGGGUAAAAAGGUUAUUUGGUGGACUGAUAUUUGGGAAAGAGGGUGAAGUGUAAAAAUGAAGCAAGUAAGACCCGAUUAUAUUUUUCUUUCACAACUCUUUCAAGGGAAAGACCCAAAAAAUGGAAAUGAAACAUCCAAAAAAGAUUUUGCACUUUCUCAUUAUUUUUUUUUUUAAAAAAAAUUAAAAAAGAAGAGACAAAAAAAUCCAAAAAGAUUUUACAUGUUUCAUCAUUUUCAAAAAAAGAAAAGAAAAAAAUGUUUUCUCCAAAUCGAUGUUUUUUUUAAAUUCUCUCUCACAUCCAAUCUUCCCAAACUAUGCAUACCCGAUUCUCGUCUUUUGGGGCAGGAUAUAUAAGCAGCCCGCAUAGGAUCCGGUCAUCCUAGUAAGUCUUAGGUUCUUGGCUUCGCGGUGUCUUAGCUAAAUCUUGCAUGUCUAGCCAGUUUUGUCCACAUAGGUCGUUCUUGCAAAAUGAGGUCAUAUUCCCAAAAGGUUUGUUAUCCCAUGUCUUAGAGACCUAAUUCCACAACAAGGUGGUUUGUCUCUGUUUAAGGUUCAGUUUAUUGAGUUUGCACUUCUAGCCACAUUUUGGCCACGUAGGUUAAGUUUAAAAAUAGCCCAAUCUGUCUUGCAUGUGUCUAAUAGGAGGUGUUGUGGUAUCGCAUAGUGUCUCGAGUCACUAACUCAAUUUGAUCUUAUUUUUCUCAUUCAGGUAUGACUCCAUUUGCAGGGCUUGAGUGUGAUAGACGCCCCAAGACCAUCCAGUCAGGACCACUACAUUCAGGAGCUACUUGAGGAGAUCUUUCUAUAUUUUUGAGUUUGUUUUCAUGUUUUCUUUUACUUUUUAGUCUUUUCCAGUAGUGUUAAGUAUUUUAGGUGGUGUAAGAGUUUGUCAAAUCUUUUGUCAUCAUAUUUCUUAUUUGUAUUUGAAAGCAAAAAAGGGUACAAAUGAAAAACUCAAAAAGAUUUUUGUCUUUA
rnacentral:lncRNA from 1 species